CCUACGGGUGGCAGCAGUCGAGAAUCAUUCACAAUGGGGGAAACCCUAAUGGUGCGACGCCGCGUGGGGGAAUGAAGGUCUUCGGAUUGUAAACCCCUGUCAUGUGGGAGCAAAUUAAAAAGAUAGUACCACAAGAGGAAGAGACGGCUAACUCUGUGCCAGCAGCCGCGGUAAUACAGAGGUCUCAAGCGUUGUUCGGAAUCACUGGGCGUAAAGCGUGCGUAGGCUGUUUCGUAAGUCGUGUGUGAAAGGCGCGGGCUCAACCCGCGGACGGCACAUGAUACUGCGAGACUAGAGUAAGGGAGGGGGAACCGGAAUUCUCGGUGUAGCAGUGAAAUGCGUAGAUAUCGAGAGGAACACUCGUGGCGAAGGCGGGUUCCUGGACAUUAACUGACGCUGAGGCACGAAGGCCAGGGGAGCGAAAGGGAUUAGAUACCCUAGUAGUC
rnacentral:rRNA from 1 species